rnacentral:rRNA from 1 species
UACGUAGGGAGCAAGCGUUGUCCGGAAUCACUGGGCGUAAAGGGCGCGUAGGCGGCUCAUGAAGGCUGUGGUGAAAGUCCGGGGCUCAACCUCGGAUCGGCCGUGGCGACUCGUGGGCUGGAGCACUGUAGAGGCGGGUGGAAUUCCGGGUGUAGCGGUGGAAUGCGUAGAUAUCGGGAGGAACACCGGUGGCGAAGGCGGCUUCCUGGACCGACAUUGACGCUGAGGCGCGAAAGCUAGGGGAGCAAACGGG